rnacentral:lncRNA from 1 species
GACCUGGGUCUCGGUGGAGGAAGGACCCGCUCUCCAUUUUCUGCGAUCGCGGAGCACGUGGUAGACAAGAAAAAAUGAAAUUGAAAAAUGAAAGAGAGUGAUAACAGGAAAAUCAAAACGUCCCUGAAAUGUUGCUAAUGUUGUGCUUAAUGUUGCAAUGCUAUAAUUUUUAGAAGAACAUUUUUGGUUGCAAAUAAUAGUGAAGAAAACGAAGAAAAUGGUUGAUAGUGUGAA